rnacentral:rRNA from 1 species
CCUACGGGUGGCAGCAGUGGGGAAUAUUGGACAAUGGGCGAAAGCCUGAUCCAGCCAUGCCGCGUGUGUGAAGAAGGCCUUCGGGUUGUAAAGCACUUUCAGUGGGGAAGAAAGCCUUGGGGCUAAUACCCUCGAGGAAGGACAUCACCCACAGAAGAAGCACCGGCUAACUCCGUGCCAGCAGCCGCGGUAAUACGGAGGGUGCGAGCGUUAAUCGGAAUUACUGGGCGUAAAGCGCGCGUAGGCGGUCUGAUAAGCCGGUUGUGAAAGCCCCGGGCUCAACCUGGGAACGGCAUCCGGAACAGUCAGGCUAGAGUGCAGGAGAGGAAGGUAGAAUUCCCGGUGUAGCGGUGAAAUGCGUAGAGAUCGGGAGGAAUACCAGUGGCGAAGGCGGCCUUCUGGACUGACACUGACGCUGAGGUGCGAAAGCGUGGGUAGCAAACAGGAUUAGAUACCCUUGUAGUC